GACGAACGCUGGCGGCGUGCCUAAUACAUGCAAGUCGAACGCAGUGGGGACGGGUGAGUAACACGUGGGUAACCUCCCAUCAGAGGGGAUAACACUUGGAAACAGGUGCUAAACCGAUACUGAUGGAUGGACCCGCGGUGCAUUAGCUAGUUGGUGAGGUAACGGCUCACCAAGGCCACGAUGCAUAGCCGACCUAGAAGGGUGACUGGCCACACGGGUACUUGGACACGGCCCACACGCCUACGGGAGGAAGCAGUAGGGAAUCUUGGGCAAUGGACGAAACUCUGACCGACAAACUCCGCGUGAGUGAAGAAGGUUUUCGGAUCGUAAACCUCUGUUGUUAGAGAAGCGGUAUCUAACCAGAAAGCCACGGCUAACUACGUGCCAGCAGCCGCGGUAAUUC
rnacentral:rRNA from 1 species